rnacentral:rRNA from 1 species
GACGAGUCUCACGAACGUUAUUCGGAAUUACUGGGCUUAAAGGGUGCGUAGGCGGUGGAGUAAGUCGGAUGUGAAAUACCAUAGCUUAACUAUGGAACUGCACUCGAUACUACUUUGCUAGAGUAAGACAGAGGUGAGUGGAACUGAGGGUGGAGCGGUGAAAUGCGUUGAUAUCCUCAGGAACACCGGUGGCGAAGGCGGGUUGCUGGGCCGACACUGACGCUGAUGCGCGAAAGCCAGGGGAGCGAACGGG